CGUAUGCCUCACAGCGUUUCCUCCGUAUGCCUCACAGUUUGCUCCGUACACCCGCGUUUCCUCCGUAUGCCCCAGUUUCCUCCAUAUGCCUCAAUUUCCUCCAUACGCCCCACAGUUUCCUCCGUAUGCCCCAGUUUCCUCCAUACGCCCCGGUUUCCUCCAUACACCCCACAGUUUCCUCCAUACGCCCCACAGUUUCCUCCAUAUGCCCAGUUUCCUCCAUACACCCCACAGUUUCCUCCAUAUGCCUCAAUUUCCUCCAUACGCCCCCCAGUUUCUUCCAUACACCCCACAGUUUCCUCCAUAUGCCCAGUUUCCUCCAUACACCCCACAGUUUCCUCCAUAUGCCCAGUUUCCUCCAUACGCCCCCCAGUUUCCUCCAUACGCCCCACAGUUUCCUCCAUACGCCCCACAGUUUCCUCCAUACGCCCCACAGUUUCUUCCAUACGCCCCACAGUUUCCUCCAUAUGCCCAGUUUCCUCCAUACACCCCACAGUUUCCUCCAUAUGCCUCAAUUUCCUCCAUACGCCCCCCAGUUUCUUCCAUACACCCCACAGUUUCCUCCAUACGCCUCAAUUUUCUCUGUACGCCCCACAGUUUCCUCCAUAUGCCUCAGUUUCCUCCAUACGCCCCAGUUUCCUCCAUACGCCUCAAUUUCCUUUGUACGCCCCAGUUUCCUCCAUACGCCCCAGUUUCCUCCAUACGCCCCAGUUUCCUCCAUACGCCUCAAUUUCCUCUGUAUGCUUCAGUUUCCUCCAUACACCUCAGUUUCCUCCGUCUGCCUCACAGUUUCCUCUAUAAGCCUCAGUUUCCUCAGUACACCCCACAGUUUCCUCCCUACACCUCCGUUUGCUUGUUUUGCACAAAUGACUGACAACAGAACACUUGUGGGUGUGGACGGAGCUCGCGUCUCGAAGUGUUUCUAAGAUGCUAUUUUCAGCAGGUCACUAUAAACGCUUUCUACUCUGAAGCACACAGGGGCUGGGGCUGGCCUUCGGAGUUACGAGGAAACGAGGACCAGGACCAGGGAUUCUGCAUCAGCACAGCCGCCAGGAGCCGGCCGGGGCCCCAUCCCUGACACUGCUGUCGCCCGGCUGUACCUGGGUGCUGUGUCCGCGGGGCGUCUGGAGACGUCGAUGUGGUCAUAGCAGGGCCUGGAACGGGGAGGUCUGGCCUGAACUAGAGAAAUGAGGGGCGUAUCCGCUUCUCCACCCUGGCCUCAGAUGAAGAGGCUCUGGGGGCAGGAGGGAGUCAGACACGUGCAGGGCAGGCGGCCUGUGCAGGGCCCAACCCUCCGGCACCAGAACCUGACCUCCUCAGAGGCCCCCACCAUGGAGGGAUGUCUGGGGGAUGCUGUGCGCUGCCGCUACGAUGUUUGGUUAGAGAUUAAAGCCAUUUCAGAAGUGGACACCUGCCCAUGUGAUGCAAAGGGCUGGGAACCCGGUCUUGACUUUGCCUGGAAUGCCUUUCGGAAAGACCUCUGUCCCUGAGGCUGAGGGACAGUGCCUGCUCCUGCCAGGUGCCCAGCUCUUAAGCGGUCCCCAGACUCAUGCCACCUGCCCCGGGGCCUCCCCCAACUCAUUUGUUUAUUUCCCUGUUGGGAAUGUAUUGAUACCUCUAGGAUGCAAGGACGGAACCACACCUGAGGGGUGGACAGUCAGCCGGUGCCCAGCAAAUAUCUGUGGAAUUUCCUCCACACAACAGGGAAAGCGAUGGAGACAGAAACCUCUGCAGGCCCCCGAGGGCACCCACUUCCCUGACCCCGUCCACCUCCCUGACCCCCGCCCACCUCCCUGAUCCCCAUCCCGCAAGCUGGGCCUAGGGUAUCGGUGGCCUGGCUGGUCAUGCCCUGGGCGCCAGCGCCUGUUCAGGAGGUGAAGGGUUUAUCUCAGCUUGGCCCAUGACUGCGUUGAAGGACAGGAGGGAGCGGCUGUGGCUGUGGCUGGAAUCUGAAGCCGGUGCGGGCGGCCAGGGCCUUUCCCUGGGUGGUGACGAGCGAGGACCAGAGCCCUGUCUGCCCGAGGGAAGGGCGAGGGGACACUCCCCGUGGCGGGGGUGGGAUCCCGGUAGCCGGGGCUCAGUGACCGCUGCCUGGGCCACCGCCUGUGGGGACCUGACCUUCCUGGGGAAACCCAUGGGUCAAAGGAGCCGAGAAAUCCAAGCACCAAGUGGCCGCUAUGGCAGGACGGGCGCGUUCGCAGUGGAGAAGCUGGGUGUGUCCGUGGGAAAGGAAAGAAAUGGAAGCAGAGGCUCUUCAGGGGCACCUGGGAACGCAGCCUACACUCUUCCCAGGCCUCCUCCCUCCGUCCACUGUGCCGCCUGGGUCCUGGGACAGCCUGAGGGCCGCAGGCUCCCAUGCAAGGCCCGCUGGGGGCCUGCUUGUCUGGGGCUGAAUUUGGACUUUAUGGGGCUAUGGCUUUAAUUUCACAAUGACCGAUAACCAGUGAACUGAAGCCAGGACAGCACCGUGAGCACCAAGUCAGAGAAUUUUCACGAGGGAACCAAUGAACAGGAACAGAGUGUGAGGCUGCCCCAGCUGCAUCCUCCGGGAGGCGCCUUCCCAAGGGAGUGCAAGGCUGCCUGCUGUGGCCAGGCCACCAAAGCACCUUCUUCACCGCCAGGCAUCUUUUGAGGCACGCGAACAUCAGAGGCCCCAGCCACGUGCUCUGGAGGAGAAGCUGAGAGCCCCAGGCCACAGGCAGGGCAGCCUCUGAGGGCCGGCUCAGGGAGAGUGGCCGGAGCUUCUGGCCUGGGGCAGGUGGACCCGUUAGAAACUGCAUGUGUUGCCUCUGGCACCAGCCACAGCAAGAGAUUCUCUUCCUAUCACACAGGGAACAAACUCAAGGAUCUUGACCUUGCCCUCCUCUCCCCAGCUGGCCGCACUUGGGGACGCUGAUGCCACAAAGGAAAUAACCAAAACAAGAUAACUCUAUUGGGCGGCGGGAACAGAAAGGAACAUGUAGCAAUCACUCCUCUUCAUCCAUGCAAGGAAGCGAGGCGACGCCUUGAAAAGGACGGCCUUCUUUGCUGCAAAUAGCCAGAAGUGAACUGAGCAAAGGAAGCACGGGACGCACAGGAAGAAAAGUGCUCCAAGGGACGGACAGGACGGUGCCGGGGUUAGGAAAGCGCAACACUGUUCAGACACAGUCUCCGAUAUAUGAAUGGCAAGCCCAGUUAAAAAUAUCUAAAGGGCUUUUUUAGGUUUUUAAGAAUAUUUUUAAGGUUUAGUUUUAUUAAAAAAUAAGCAAGACAACCAGAAAAAAGACUGAGGAGGGCAUAGGAGACCCACCCGCGUGCAUGAGGCCGAGUCUAAAGCUGUGGCCACGGCCUGUGGAAACCCGGCAGAAAAUCUCCCAAAUACCCAGCAUAUGAGGACGGCAGCAGGUGAGGCACUGGGGUGAGACAGACUCAAAUGUGUGGUGUUGGGGCAGGAACUGAGCCUGCAGUCUAGAUCCCCACCUCAUCCAUCACGUCAAAAGAAAUUACGGGCGGGUCACAGAUGAAAACACCUAACAGCAGGUAACUGUUUUGUAAUCUUGGGGAGAAGCCUAAAGCCCAGGAACUAAGAGAGUAUAACAAGUGUGAAUACAGAAUUUAAAAGAAGAGACUGGUUUAGCAAUCACUAAGAUAAAACACGCGUGACAGGAUCUGCUUGUCUCCUCUGAGCACGCAGGAGCCUCUGCCCCAAAUGCAGACAUUGGGCCCUACGUGGCACCUGGCUACUGUGCAUGGUUGCAGGUCAGGGCAGGCCGGGCCACAGGGCAGGGCCACCCUCCCAUUCCCAUGUUUACACUGAGCAUUUCCUCUGCCUGUGUCUCUUGGGCUGGGGUCUGUGAUACAAGUCCGGGAGGCCAGAGACGCCCACGGACAGUGCGUGGGGCUUGGGGAGCGGGACUGAGCCACCUCUGACUCCUUCUGCUGACUGGGAUCCAGCUCCAAAGCCAUGCCUGGGAAGAGACUCCUGCCUCUCCCAGGAUGACUCCGUCCCGCCACGCCUCUGCUCUCAGCGCCCACAGGGACUCACCAAGCUGGACUUUCAUCUAAAACUAGACACACGUGACGCCAGCGGACCACAGACCCAGUGCAAGGGGAGCUGUGUGGGUUGUGCUGAAGGUAUGUUAAAAUUCAUACAGGACACCCAAAACAAUCAAUCUUAUUGCAUGAUAAUUUU
rnacentral:misc_RNA from 1 species